rnacentral:rRNA from 1 species
GCCUACGGGGGGCAGCAGUGAGGAAUAUUGGUCAAUGGGCGGAAGCCUGAACCAGCCAAGUCGCGUGAGGGAUUAAGGCCCUAUGGGUCGUAAACCUCUUUUGUCAGGGAGCAAUGGCGUCCACGUGUGGGCGUAUGGAGAGUACCUGAAGAAAAAGCAUCGGCUAACUCCGUGCCAGCAGCCGCGGUAAUACGGAGGAUGCGAGCGUUAUCCGGAUUUAUUGGGUUUAAAGGGUGCGUAGGCGGACUGUUAAGUCAGCGGUAAAAGCCCGGGGCUCAACCCCGGCGAGCCGUUGAAACUGGCUG